GUGGGUACGUCCGAGUGGCGAAACGGGUGAGUAACACGUGAGUAACCUACCCUUGACUUUGGGAUAACUUCAGGAAACUGGGGCUAAUACCGGAUAGGAGCUCCUGCUGCAUGGUGGGGGUUGGAAAAGUUUCGGCGGUUGGGGAUGGACUCGCGGCUUAUCAGCUUGUUGGUGGGGUAGUGGCUCACCAAGGCUUUGACGGGUAGCCGGCCUGAGAGGGUGACCGGCCACAUUGGGACUGAGAUACGGCCCAGACUCCUACGGGAGGCAGCAGUGGGGAAUAUUGCACAAUGGGCGGAAGCCUGAUGCAGCAACGCCGCGUGCGGGAUGACGGCCUUCGGGUUGUAAACCGCUUUCGCCUGUGACGAAGCGUGAGUGACGGUAAUGGGUAAAGAAGCACCGGCUAACUACGUG
rnacentral:rRNA from 1 species